GGGAGUGACGGCCCUUCUGGGAAGCACCGCCGGGAGCCGGGAGUACGUGGACGCGGAGGAGCCCUGCCCCAGGUAGAACUGGGCCCGCCGAUCCCGGCGGGGGGGGACGGGGGAGCGCCGCCUUCUGUGCCGUGAUUUUUUUGUUUUGCAACCGGGCAGUACGAGGCCUCGCCCAAGGUCACCUCAGGGCUGUGCACUUGGAAGCUCGGGGCCGCCCCCACCCCGCCUGGAGCGGGAGAGGGCCCGGCGUCCCUGGGGAGGGGACCGCGCGGACGCGGCAGCCCCUGGUUCGGGCGAGCGGGGAAGCUCUGGGGAGGAGGGAGAGGGCCAGCAGUUGCGCCCUUGCCCAGAAGCGGGUGUGUCCUUUCCAUCUUGAGGACAGAAACUUGGGCCUCAGAGAAAUGAUGUGAUUUUUUUUUUUUUUUUUUUUUUUCCCUAGCUCAGUGCUGGCUUUGGGCGAUUUAUUGUGACUUUGCUGCAUGUCAUUUUAUCUUCCAUGCGUUUAAUGGCUGAGGAAAUAGCGGGACGGGGAGGUGGGGUCACCUUGCAGGUAACUGUGGUGGGGCUGAGACUUAGCUCGAGGCCUUGCCUCCGGGUCCUGGGCACUGCCUGGCAACCCCACGUCGCUGUCAUCUCCCUGCUCUCUUCAGGGAUGGUCCCCAGGACUUCUGCACUUGGUAGCGUGGCCACCAGCCCACCUGCACCCCCUCCUCACCCUGCUAGCCUCCCACCUCUAGCCACCUCCCAACUAGUCAUUACUUGGCAGGCACACAGGGCAGGUGACUUGGUGAUGGGUCGGCGCCCCCAGCCUUUGGCCUGGCCAUUCCCACCUGCGAGGAAUGCCUUGCCUUCUCCAUGCAAAUGCGACGUGGGAUCCUGGUUUGGAUCCUGGGACACAAAAAAGGAAGGCAGCGGAAGAAGAGGUGAAAUCUGAGUAAAGUCUGGAGUUUAAUACCAAGUGCCAAAGUUCCUCGCGGUGACAGCCGAACCACGCCUGUGUAAGUUGUUACCUUAAGAGAAACUGAGUGGGGAGGCUACAGCAAAGCUCACGCAGUCUUUGCUACUUUUCUGUAAAUCUAAGAUUAUAAUAAAAACUUCGUUUUAGAACAUCUAAGGAAAAGCAAAGUUUCCCUACCCGUAGGUCCCCGUCUGGUUCUCCCAGGCCUGUGGACAGAUCAAAGGAAGGAUGAUUCUUCUUCUGCCUCGUCUGCAGGGCGCUGGGCAGUCUCCCGUGGAGAGGGGGGCAGGCUUGGG
rnacentral:lncRNA from 1 species